GGACAUAUGGGCCAUGAAAAUGAGGCCAAGGUCUGGAAUCCAGACCUGAUUCCAAAACACUUUGGGCCAUAACAUUCAAAGAAAUUCCCAACCUUUCCUUUGUCAUAUGGAAACUUGUUGUACAAUUAGGUACAGAUCCAAACAUUUAUUAAUCAGUUAUUGUCUAAGAAAAAGAAAAAUGCUUGUUGUUGGUCCCUUUUUCUUAAAUAGUUACGGCCAUAACCAGAUAACUCCCAUUCAGAAACUUUCUUUUGUGGUAUGAAACCGUGUGGUAAAAUUGAAUAUGAAUAGUAACUUGCAAUUUACUGAUUUUUGCAAAUGUUCUAUUUUUAUGUCAAUGUUGGUUAAAAAAAAUUGAAAUAUCUUGAUCAUCUGAUGGUGUACCUAUUAAUGAAAGCACUAUGAGUGCUGUCGGUCAGUUUAUUGAAAAACAAGAAUAUAGUGAAUGGAGUGUCCUGAAUCUCUGACACAGAUUGUUAACAAUAAAAUAAUAUUUAGAUGAAUAAUAUGAGAACAUAUAUACUUUUUAUCUCAAAAUGUUAAUCACCAGUAGUAAAAUUAUUUUUGGGUUAACGGUUACUGAUUUCUUAAAACUUAACAUUUUCAAAAAGACAAUGAAAUAAACUUUACA
rnacentral:lncRNA from 1 species